AGUAACCGAUUACCUUUCUCAGAUGGUGGGGAAUUGUUUACAGUCCCUUCCUUAGAGUUGGGAUCUACAAUUAAACAGCCAUUGCACUUCAUAUGUCCUCAGGGGACCCUAGACCAGUUGCAUAGCACAGUGCCCUUAGGGCACCACUGAGAGCAGGUAAAGGCUAGAAGGACCUCCAACCAGUUUGUUUCUGCUGAACUAGCUGCAGUGUGACCUUAGCAACAGAGAGAAGUGUGUCAGUAAUGAGUCAGUAAUGUAAUGUGAGAGAUAUAAACAACAAAGGGUUCCCUAGUCUCAUGCUGUGUCUGAAAGACAGCUGGGAGCCUUUGGUAAGUUCACUUGAACCAUCUACCACAGCUUGAAUAUGGGGAUAAUGGUAUUUGCUAUAGAAGACUACAGAACCAGCAAGGGUGAUAUGCUAAGGGAGCUAAGAGUAUGUUUUCCCUAUGAGCACUGCCUGUGUUAGUAUGAAAUUCAUGGUGGGAGACUGGCUAUACAAGUGCAUGGCUGUCCUCCUCUCUCCCCCUUCAUGAAUGCUAUCACUAGUCAAAAGAGGCCUUGAAAUGUAUAGGUUCUGUUUAGGUUGUUUAGGUACACAAAAGUCUCAGGAGCAUGCAUGUCUCCAGGUGUCAAAGUCCUUAAUUCACUGGUACUUUGAAAGAUUUUCUUAGUUAUGUCAACAAUGCGCAAUGCCCAGCAGAAGAUGAGAAGCUCUGCCACUUCAGAGAGGUUGACAGCAACAUAUAGGUCUCAUGUUGAAAUGACUAAUCCUGCUCUCCCAUUUCCAGAUUGUGAGGCUGACCCACGAGUUGUCAUGGCAGUGAGUCAGGAGUUAUGAUUCACGGUGAAACAGAUGCAAGGUGGAACACUCAAGGGACAGCACAUCUUCUCUGCUGGAAAAUGGAGAAAAAGGCUAGCCACCUCCUAUUUACACUGAACUUUGUCCAGAUAAAUUGAUUAAUCAUUUAAUCACAACUAAUGCAAGCAGUAAUCUUAAAAAUGACAGCUUAUCCUUCUGCAUCAUGUCAUGAACCUUUAAGCCAAGCACAGCUUUUAAGACUGGAUGACCCAAAUAUUCUUAAAUGUCUCUAAAGCAGCCAUUGAAAGAUGUAAACAAUAAUGAUAAAGAACUAGAUUCCUGUUUAGGGUUGUUAGAUUCCUACAAAACAUUAAUUAAAUUCAAGUGAGAAAACA